GCAAUGCCGCGUGAGUGAAGAAGGCCUUCGGGUUGUAAAGCUCUUUUGUCAGGGAAGAAACGGAUUUUUCUAAUACAGAGACCUAAUGACGGUACCUGAAGAAUAAGCACCGGCUAACUACGUGCCAGCAGCCGCGGUAAUACGUAGGGUGCAAGCGUUAAUCGGAAUUACUGGGCGUAAAGCGUGCGCAGGCGGUUUUGUAAGACUGUCGUGAAAUCCCCGGGCUCAACCUGGGAAUGGCGAUGGUGACUGCAAGGCUAGAGUUUGGCAGAGGGGGGUAGAAUUCCACGUGUAGCAGUGAAAUGCGUAGAUAUGUGGAGGAACACCGAUGGCGAAGGCAGCCCCCUGGGUCAAAACUGACGCUCAUGCACGAAAGCGUGGGGAGCAAACAGGAUUAGAUACCCUGGUAGUCCACGCCCUAAACGAUGUCUACUAGUUGUCGGGUUUUAAUUAACUUGGUAACGCAGCUAACGCGUGAAGUAGACCGCCUGGGGAGUACGGUCGCAAGAUUAAAACUCAAAGGAAUUGACGGGGACCCGCACAAGCGGUGGAUGAUGUGGAUUAAUUCGAUGCAACGCGAAAAACCUUACCUACCCUUGACAUGGCAGAAAUCUCCGAG
rnacentral:rRNA from 1 species